rnacentral:sRNA from 1 species
UAAGAGAAUAAAAAAGUUAAAUCUUUAAUGACACAUGUAAACAUCUGAUCGUUUGAAUUGACACGUGGCACGAUCCUAUGAAUUAGUACCUUUGAAAACUAUACUUUAUAUAAUAAGAUUACAAGAUUUAAUCAUGGACUCAAUUCUCAACAUGCAAUGUUAAUGAGGUUUGAACCU